rnacentral:rRNA from 1 species
AGCUCCAAUAGCGUAUAUUAAAGUUGUUGCAGUUAAAAAGCUCGUAGUCGGAUUUCGGGUCGGGCCGAGCGGUCUGCCGAUGGGUAUGCACUGUUUGGCGCGGCCUUCUUUCCGGAGACCGCGGCUACUCUUAACUGAGCGGGCGUGGGAGACGGAUCGUUUACUUUGAAAAAAUCAGAGUGUUUCAAGCAGGCAGCUCGCUCUUGCAUGGAUUAGCAUGGGACUAAAAUAAAAAUUAAAAUAGGACUCUGGUGCUAUUUUGUUGGUUUCGAACACCGGAGUAAUGAUUAACAGGGACAGUCAGGGGCACUCGUAUUCCGUCGAGAGAGGUGAAAUUCUCAGACCAAUGGAAGACGAACCACUGCGAAAGCAUUUGCCAGGGAUGUUUUCA